rnacentral:rRNA from 1 species
GAUGAACGCUGGCGGCGUGCCUAAUACAUGCAAGUCGAGCGAACGGACGAGAAGCUUGCUUCUCUGAUGUUAGCGGCGGACGGGUGAGUAACACGUGGAUAACCUACCUAUAAGACUGGGAUAACUUCGGGAAACCGGAGCUAAUACCGGAUGAUAUUUUGAACCGCAUGGUUCAAAAGUGAAAGACGGUCUUGCUGUCACUUAUAGAUGGAUCCGCGCUGCAUUAGCUAGUUGGUAAGGUAACGGCUUACCAAGGCAACGAUGCAUAGCCGACCUGAGAGGGUGAUCGGCCACACUGGAACUGAGACACGGGCCAGACUCCUACGGGAGGCAGCAGUAGGGAAUCUUCCGCAAUGGGCGAAAGCCUGACGGAGCAACGCCGCGUGAGUGAUGAAGGUCUUCGGAUCGUAAAACGCUGUUAUUAGGGAAGAACAUAUGUGUAAGUAACUGUGCACAUCUUGACGGUACCUAAUCAGAAAGCCACGGCUAACUACGU